GGGGGGCAGAGCCCCCGUGGUUCUGCCCACGUGGGGGCUGCCGUGGGCGCUCGCCCCCGUGCCGCAGCGCUGCCGGCGCGUGCCCCCGCGUGCGGGCGGCUCGUUGCAGCUUCCCUUUAUAGCCCAGCACAGGUAGAAGGGAGCCGAGCUCGCCCCCGCAUCCCCCCCCCCUCCAUCCUCCCCCCCCCAGGAAGGAUGAAAAAUCUCAGAACUGUUCGUUCCCUGCAGAGCUACGGGAUGAGGGGGGGGGGAAACAUGAGCUCAGGCAGGACCCCAGAGGAGCGAGGCAGCACCACGGGACAGCCCCGGGGGUCCCAAAAAGUCCCCAACAGUGUCCCCCCCCCCUCCGAGGGGUGAAGGCCCGGGGGGGGGGGCUGCGUUUUGUCCCCGUGUGCGAAGGGCACAGCCUGGGAGGUGGCUGUGUCAGGACAGUGACGGGGACAGAUGUGUCCUCACCCCCCCCAGCAGCUUUCCCCUCCCUUCCCCUUACCCCAGGGUACCAGAAGGGGAACCUGGGGGGGUCCCAACAAGCCCCCAGACCCCUUGUGUGGGGAGGGGGUGGGCAAGGUUGGACCUGGAGCAGGGCCGAGCCUGGCCACACAGAGAGAGGGGGGCAGGGGUUUGGCACGUGCCUGGGGGGGGUUUCAGGGCUCUGCUGGGCAGGGAAGGAGCCGAGCCCUUGACGAGGUCAGUGUGGGGCAGCCCCCCCUGCCCGAAUUCCCCCCCCCAGGCUGUGUUGUGGUGCUCAGGGCUUGCCGGACAGCUCGCUGACCCGCUGGCGGAGGUGGAAGGCAAACUCGAACAUGGUGGCCGCCAGGCUCUGGUGGAUGAGGUACCGGGGCAGGCGACCCUGCGAGGAAAGGAAAAGGAACAGCACGUCAGGGAGAACAGCAGCAGCACGGGCAAAACAGCCCCCCCGGGGAGGUGAAAUCCCCCCCCCCCCCCACCUCACCCCCAGCUCCUGCUCGGGGCUGCCCGGGUUUUGCUCCCUGCCCCGGUGCCGCAGCGGGGAGCUG
rnacentral:lncRNA from 1 species